AAUCCAAAGAACGCUCAUGGAGUUGCUCAAUCAGUUGGAUGGAUUUGACCAGCUUGGAAAGGUAAAAAUGAUUAUGGCAACAAAUAGACCUGAUGUUUUGGACCCAGCUCUUCUUCGUCCUGGUCGAUUAGAUAGAAAGAUAGAAAUCCCCUUGCCUAAUGAACAAUCAAGAAUGGAAAUCCUCAAGAUCCAUGCUGCUGGGAUUGCCAAACAUGGUGAAAUUGAUUAUGAGGCUGCUGUUAAGCUCGCUGAGGGAUUUAAUGGGGCUGAUAUGCGGAAUGUUUGCACUGAAGCUGGUAUGUUUGCAAUUCGUGCAGAGCGUGAUUAUGUCAUCCAUGAGGAUUUCAUGAAGGCUGUAAGGAAACUGAAUGAAGCAAAGAAACUUGAAUCAAGU
rnacentral:misc_RNA from 1 species